GAUGAACGCUGACAGAAUGCUUAACACAUGCAAGUCGAUGGGGAAGUGGUGCUUGCACCAUGGUAACCAUGGCGGACGGGUGAGUAACGCGUAAGGAACUUACCUGCGGGACCGGGAUAACAGCAGGAAACUGCUGACAAGACCGGAUAAGGUCAUUAAGCUGCAUAGCUUAGUGAUGAAAGGAGACGCCUGCGGAGAGCCUUGCGUCCUAUUAGCUAGUUGGAGGGGUAACGGCCCACCAAGGCGAAGAUAGGUAGCCGGCCUGAGAGGGUGGACGGCCACAACGCGACUGAGAUGCGGCCCUUACUACUACGGGAGGCAGCAGUGAAGAAUAUUGGACAAUGGGGGCAUCCCUGAUCCAGCAAUUCUGUGUGCACGAAGACGGUUUUCGGAUUGUAAAGUGCUUUCAGCAGGGAAGAAGGAAGUGACGGUACCUACAGAAGAAGCGACGGCUAAAUACGUG
rnacentral:rRNA from 1 species